AUGUCUUUGGUUUGUUGUAUUUGUGAAGUAGCUAUAGGAUAGUUAUGUAUGUCUCUGUCCAUUUACAGCUCACUGAGCUGUAUGGACAUUCUGAGACCUCUUCAAAGGAAACUCUAAUUGAAGAGAAAAGUCCAAAGACCAAGUGCCCGUCCAGCGUCGCUGGGGCUGCUGACAUUGACAACACCAAUGAGGAGGAUUCAGAGGAGUCUCCGAAUAACAAUGUGGUGGACUUUCAGGAUGAGUCGCUGGCCCUGGUCAGUGUGGAGAAAGAGGCUGCUGGAGAUGGAAAGGUCCUCAGCAAGGUGGUGAAGCCCAAAGGGUGUCUGAAGGAGAGCUGCAAAGAUCAGCUAACCCCAACAAUCUAUGAUAUGAUUACGGAACUACCAAAGUCCUAUUUCGGAUCCACUGAGGACCUUCCUGAGAUGUGUAGCAGAGGUCCCGAUGUGUGCAGUGGAGUGCCUGAGGUGAGUAACAGAGGUCCACGGAUCUGCAGUAGAGGUCCAAAGGUGUGCAGUGGAGUGCCUGAGGUGCCAAAUGCAGUGGGAGAGGUGUCAAGUGACACAAAGAAGACAGAGGCAACUGGAGACCUUCUGAACACUGGAAACGGCCUGAGAAAGGUGGUGCAGCUAUCCACCGAGAGCCAUGCUGAGGUGUGUAAUGGAGAGGCUGAGCUGUGCAGCGGUCCUGAGGUGUGCAGCAGAGGUCCUGAGGUGUGCAGUGGAGGUCCUGAGGUGUGCAGCGGAGGUCCUGAGGUGUGCAGCGGAGGUCCUGAGGUGUGCAGUGGAGGUCCUGAGGUGUGCAGCAGAGGUCCUGAGGUGUGCAGCAGAGGUCCUGAGGUGUGCAGCGGAGGUCCUGAGGUGUGCAGCGGAGGUCCUGAGGUGUGCAGCGGAGGUCCUGAGGUGUGCAGCGGAGGUCCUGAGGUGUGCAGCGGAGGUCCUGAGGUGUGCAGCGGAGGUCCUGAGGUGUGCAGUGGAGUCCCUGAGGUGUCAAACCCAGUGGAAGAGGUGUCCAGUGAUACAAAGACAGAGGCUGCUGAAGAACUUCGGGACACUGGAAAUGUCCUCAGCAAGGUGGUGAUCCCCAAAGAGUGGCUGAAGCAGGACUGGGAUGAUCAGCUGAACAGAGACUUCAAUGAUAUGAUUGCAAAUCUCCCAAAGCCCUAUUUCGGAUCCAUCGAGAGCCUUCCUGAGGUGUCCAGUAGAGGUCCUGAGGUGUCAAACGAAGUGGAAGAGGUGUGCAGUGACACAAUGAAGAUAGAGGCUACAGGAAAUCUUCUGAAAACUGGAAAUGGCCUAAGCAAGGUGGUGCUCCUAUCCACUGAGAGCCGUCCUGAUGUGUGCAUUAGAGUGCCUGAGGUGUUCAGUGGAGGUCCAGAGGUAUGCAGUGAAAUGCCUGAAGUGUAACAGUGGAUGUCCUGAGGUGUUCAGUGAGGUGUUCAGUGAGGUGCCUGAGGCACCAAACCCAGUGGAAGAGGUGUCCAGUGAUAGAAAGACAGAGGCUGCUGAAGAACUUCGGGACACUGAAAAUGUCCUCAGCAAGGUGGUGAAAUCCAAAGGGUGGCUGAAGGAGGGCUGGGAAGAUCAGCUGACCAAAGACUUCAAUGAUAUGAUUGCAAGACUCCCAAAGUCCUAUUUUGGAUCCAACGAGAGCCUUCCUGAGGUGUGCAGCGGAGUGCACGAGGUGUCGAACGCAGAGGAAGUGGUGCGCAGUGACACAAAGAAGCAGAAGAAAAAUGGCGUUCUACGAUUCUUCCGAUGUGUGUGGAAGUUCUUCACAUGCACCAACAGCCUCCCAAAAGAGGAGUGACUCAAGCACACACAACUCCAGGCAACACUUUCUCCACCAUCUCCCCUUUCCUUCCAACUGGCUCUU